GACGAACGCUGGCGGCGUGCUUAACACAUGCCAGUCGAACGGAAAGGCCCUGCUUUUGUGGGGUGCUCGAGUGGCGAACGGGUGAGUAACACGUGAGUAACCUGCCCUUGACUUUGGGAUAACUUCAGGAAACUGGGGCUAAUACCGGAUAGGAGCUCCUGCUGCAUGGUGGGGGUUGGAAAGUUUCGGCGGUUGGGGAUGGACUCGCGGCUUAUCAGCUUGUUGGUGGGGUAGUGGCUUACCAAGGCUUUGACGGGUAGCCGGCCUGAGAGGGUGACCGGCCACAUUGGGACUGAGAUACGGCCCAGACUCCUACGGGAGGCAGCAGUGGGGAAUAUUGCACAAUGGGCGGAAGCCUGAUGCAGCAACGCCGCGUGCGGGAUGACGGCCUUCAGGUUGUAAACCGCUUUCGCCUGUGACGAAGCGUGAGUGACGGUAAUGGGUAAAGAAGCACCGGCUAACUACGUG
rnacentral:rRNA from 1 species